CUGGUUAAGCUUCACUUCGGACAAAAAUCAACUUGGCAAAUUUAGCACCAGUGGCUUCAACAUGGCGCCGAAACUACAAAUUCAGGUUGAGUAUUGCAGCGGAUGAGGGUACGAGAAACGCUUCAAAGGGCUGAUGGACGCCAUCCAUGCAGCCCUCCCUGAAGCGUCUGUGGAAGGCAAAGUUGGCCAAAAAACAUCCUUCGAGAUAACUCUCAACGGCCAUCUUUUGUUUUCCAAGUUGAGCUCUGGCGGUUUCCCUAUCAAAAAAGAGAUCAUUCUGGCUAUCCAAGACUACAGUGGCGAAGGUGACGUGACUCGGAUUACAAGCACCGCACCAAAAAGCACCUGUAACCUACUUUAAUAAAAAAUAAAUUUUCCAAAUAACCCUAUCAGGACCUUGGGGCACCAUGUCAACCCAAAAUUUACGGUCCUGAUGAUGAUGUAAACGCACAAAGCGCAAACAAGCAGGCAACUUUCAAUACUGUAAUUAACUUAUUGGAGCACACGUUAUUCCAGUUUAUUUUGAGACGAUAAUACAAAUUUUUGUGACGUCAUCAUCUGGCACUCGAAUUUGCUGUAAUACACAAAGUGAAAUAUUUGCAAAUGACACACUCUGUGAUACAGUCUUGGCCCAAGACGCUAGUGAUCGAUAACUUGGAAACCAGCCUGCCUGCUCGGAGUGCUCGCACUAUAUAACGUCUUGGGAAAUCGAACCCACAACCUGACGAUCAUGUACUCCACCGCUAGUGAUACCCCCUUCUAUUCGAAGAUAUAUUUACAUGCAUGCAUAAUUUACAAGCUACAAUAUUCCCAAGACGUUAGUGCGAGAAAGUAAAAAAAAGAAAUACAAUUGUGCAAGGGCGCUCUACAAACUUAACAAUGCAACCAUCGCUGUCGAUCAGUGACGUUUU